GAUGAACGCUGGCGGCGUGCCUAAUACAUGCAAGUCGAGCGAACAGACGAGGAGCUUGCUCCUCUGACGUUAGCGGCGGACGGGUGAGUAACACUUGGAUAACCUACCUAUAAGACUGGGAUAACUUCGGGAAACCGGAGCUAAUACCGGAUAAUAUAUUGAACCGCAUGGUUCAAUAGUGAAAGACGGUUUUGCUGUCACUUAUAGAUGGAUCCGCGCCGCAUUAGCUAGUUGGUAAGGUAACGGCUUACCAAGGCAACGAUGCGUAGCCGACCUGAGAGGGUGAUCGGCCACACUGGAACUGAGACACGGUCCAGACUCCUACGGGAGGCAGCAGUAGGGAAUCUUCCGCAAUGGGCGAAAGCCUGACGGAGCAACGCCGCGUGAGUGAUGAAGGUCUUCGGAUCGUAAAACUCUGUUAUUAGGGAAGAACAAAUGUGUAAGUAACUAUGCACGUCUUGACGGUACCUAAUCAGAAAGCCACGGCUAACUACGUG
rnacentral:rRNA from 1 species